rnacentral:rRNA from 1 species
GACGAACGCUGGCGGCGUGCUUAACACAUGCAAGUCGAACGGAAAGGCCCUGCUUUUGUGGGGUGCUCGAGUGGCGAACGGGUGAGUAACACGUGAGUAACCUGCCCUUGACUUUGGGAUAACUUCAGGAAACUGGGGCUAAUACCGGAUAGGAGCUCCUGCUGCAUGGUGGGGGUUGGAAAGUUUCGGCGGUUGGGGAUGGACUCGCGGCUUAUCAGCUUGUUGGUGGGGUAGUGGCUUACCAAGGCUUUGACGGGUAGCCGGCCUGAGAGGGUGACCGGCCGAAUUGGGACUGAGAUACGGCCCAGAAUCCUACGGGAGGCAGCAGUGGGGAAUAUUGCACACUGGGCGGAAGCCUGAUGCAGCAACGCCGCGUGCGGGAUGAAGGCCUUCGGGUUGUAAACCGCUUUCGCCUGUGACGAAGCGUGAGUGACGGUAAUGGGUAAAGAAGCACCGGCUAACUACGUG